UACGAAGGGGGCUAGCGUUGUUCGGAAUCACUGGGCGUAAAGCGCACGUAGGCGGAUGAUUAAGUCAGGGGUGAAAGUCCGGGGCUCAACCUCGGAUCGGCCGUGGCGACUCGUGGGCUGGAGCACUGUAGAGGCGGGUGGAAUUCCGGGUGUAGCGGUGGAAUGCGUAGAGAUCCGGAAGAACACCAGUGGCGAAGGCGGCCCGCUGGGCAGUGGCUGACGCUGAGGCGCGACAGCGUGGGGAGCAAACAGG
rnacentral:rRNA from 1 species